GACAGAGGGUGCAAACGUUGUUCGGAAUUACUGGGCGUAAAGCGAGUGUAGGCGGUGUGGUAAGUCGGAUGUGAAAGCCCCCGGGCUCAACCCGGGAAGUGCACUCGAUACUGCGUGGCUUGAGUAUCGGAGAGGUUGGUGGAAUUCUCGGUGUAGAGGUGAAAUUCGUAGAUAUCGAGAGGAACACCGGUGGCGAAGGCGGCCAACUGGACGAAUACUGACGCUGAGGUGCGAAAGCGUGGGGGAGCAAACAGG
rnacentral:rRNA from 1 species